GGACUACAAGGGUAUCUAAUCCCGUUCGCUACCCUAGCUUUCGCGCAUCAGCGUCAGAAGAGGUCCAGCACGUCGCUUUCGCCACCGGCGUUCCUUCCGAUAUCAACGCAUUUCACCGCUCCACCGGAAGUUCCACAUGCCCCUACCUCACUCAAGACAGCCAGUAUCAAAGGCCAUUUUCCGGUUGAGCCGAAAGAUUUCACCCCUGACUUGACCGCCCGCCUACGCGCCCUUUAAGCCCAGUGAUUCCGAACAACGUUUGCACGGUUCGUCUUACCGCGGCGGCUGGCAC
rnacentral:rRNA from 3 species